CUUAAAGAAUUUGGCGGUGUUAAAUUCUAUUUAGAGGAAUCUGUUUUAUAAUCGAUAAUCCACGUUGAAUCUUACUUAAAAUAAAUAUCUUGUAUAUCGCUGUUUAUUGAAUAUACUUAUAGGUUAUUUUUUGAAUAUUAUUUAGAUAAUACUUCAAGUCAAGGUGCAGUUAUGUUUAAGUAAUAAAUGGAUUACAAUAAAUUUUAUUUAUAUGGAUUGUUUUUGUAAUAGUAAUAUGAAGGUGGAUUUAAUUGUAAUUUUAUAAAGAUUAUUAAAGUGAUUUAAGUUUUUUAAUAUGUACACAUCGCCC
rnacentral:rRNA from 1 species